UGGAGCUUAGUGGUAGAGCACUUGCCUAGCAUGCAUGAGGUCCUGGGUUCAAUCCCCAGCA
rnacentral:tRNA from 1 species